CCCUUGUGGAGGAGGACGCCGAAGGUGGGGCUAAUGACUGGGGUGAAGUCGUAACAAGGUAGCCGUACCGGAAGGUGCGGCUGGAUCACCUCCUAACAGGGAGACAACAAAAUGUUUAAUAUUAUUUUGUCACCUUAGGUCGAUCGGUAUCUCACGUUCUUAAAUAAUUAAGAAUUUCAUUUCCUAAGUUUUUCUAGGUCACACCCAUUAUUUUUCCUGGGCCAUUAGCUCAGGUGGUUAGAGCGCACCCCUGAUAAGGGUGAGGUCCCUGGUUCAAGUCCAGGAUGGCCCAUAUCUCUAUGUUGGGGGUAUAGCUCAGUUGGUAGAGCGCCUGCUUUGCAAGCAGGAUGUCAGCGGUUCGAGUCCGCUUACCUCCACUGAUUACCACCUCUUCCAUAAUCUAUAGAAAGGAAAUUUUUUGAGUUGUGAUCAAAUUCUGAACGAAUCUAGCUUCCUAAUGAAAGCAUUAAGAUGCUGGACUCAUUGAAUUAAUUUCAUUGUUUUCAGAGAACCUUGACAACUGCAUAGAUUAUUUUUUUAAAGACAAUAAGCAUCUUUAAUGAUGCAGAUUUAUUAUUUGUGCGAAUGCAUUAAUAACAAUUCUAUUAAGCUGAUGCUUCAAUUUUGAAGUUAUUGGUCAAGCUACAAAGGGCUCACGGAGGAUACCUAGGCACACAGA
rnacentral:misc_RNA from 1 species